rnacentral:rRNA from 1 species
GUGAGGAAUAUUGGACAAUGGGCGCAAGCCUGAUCCAGCCAUGCCGCGUGAGUGAUGAAGGCCUUCGGGUUGUAAAGCUCUUUAGCCGAUGAUUAUAAUGGCUGUAGUCGGAAAAUAAGCCCCGGCUAACUUCGUGCCAGCAGCCGCGGUAAUACGAAGGGGGCGAGCGUUAUUCGGAAUCACUGGGCGUAAAGCGUGCGUAGGCGGCUUUGCAAGUUGGGAGUGAAAGCCCAGGGCUCAACCCUGGAAUUGCUCUCAAAACUGCAAGGCUCGAAUUCGGGAGAGGAUAGCGGAAUUGUCAGUGUAGCAGUGAAAUGCGUAGAUAUUGACAGGAACACCAGUGGCGUAAGCGGCUAUCUGGACCGAUAUUGACGCUGAGGCACGAAAGCGUGGGGAUCAAACAGGAUUAGAAACCCCUGUAGUCC